rnacentral:misc_RNA from 1 species
AACGCACAUUGCGCCCCUCGGUAUUCCGUGGGGCACGCCUGUUCGAGCGUCAUUUACACCCUCAAGCACAGCUUGGUGUUGGGCGUCUGUCCCGCUCUCGUAGCGCGGACUCGCCUCAAAGUCAUUGGCGGCGGUCGUGCCGGCUCCUCGCGCAGCACAUUUGCGCUUCUCGGAGUCCCGGCGGAUCAGCAUCCAGCAAGCAACUUCUAUGACUUGACCUCGGAUCAGGUGAGGAUACCCGCUGAACUUAA